rnacentral:rRNA from 1 species
UACGGCGGGUGCGAGCGUUGUCCGGAAUCAUUGGGCGUAAAGGGCGCGUAGGUGGCCCGGUCAGCGUGCGGUGAAAGCUCGGGGCUCAACCCCGAGUCGGCCGUGCGAACUGCUGGGCUUGAGCACUGUAGAGGCAGGCGGAAUUCCGGGUGUAGCGGUGGAAUGCGUAGAGAUCCGGAAGAACACCGGUGGCGAAGGCGGCCUGCUGGGCAGUGGCUGACACUGAGGCGCGACAGCGCGGGGAGCAAACAGG